rnacentral:rRNA from 1 species
GAUGAACGCUGGCGGCGUGCUUAAUACAUGCAAGUCGAACGGACAGGCGCUGCUCUUGUGGGGUGCUCGAGAGGCGAACGCGUGUGUAACACGCGAGUAACAUGCCCUUGUCUUUGGGAUAACACCACGAAACUGGGGCUAAUACCGGAUAGGAGAUCCUGAUGCAUGGGGGGGGUUGGAAAGUUUCGGCGGUGUGGGAUGGACUCGAGGCUUAUCAGCUUGUUGGUGGAGUAGUGGCUUACGAAGGCUUUGACGGGUAGCCGGCCUGAGAGGGUGACCGGCCACCAUGGGACUGCGAUACGGCGCAGAAUCCUACGGGAGGCAGCAGUCGGGAAUAUUGCGCAAUGGGCGGAAGCCUGAUGCAGCAACCCCGCGUGCGUGAUGACGUCCUUCGGGUUGUAAACCGCUUUCGACUGUGACGAAGCCUGAGUGACGGUAAUGGGUAAGGAAGCACCGGCUAACUACGUG